GUGCGGUAGGUUUGAAAUGGACAUAAGCGGAGAAGAAGUUUGAAGAAGCCAUUUGGAUGAGUAAUGAAACGUUUCCACUGAACUACUGUAGGAAAAGUCCAGUUAACAUGACUCAACUUCCAGAUAUUCGUGACUCGAGGUUUUUGUUCCAGUGCAAAUCAGUGUGGUCGUAGUUAUCACAACGAUAUACUGUUGAACAAAAACUACUGGAAGAGUUUAACUUCUGGCAUGCACGGGACUCAGGCAAGUAAAUGCAAUUUUAAAAUAAAUGAAAACAAUUUACCCGACAAAUAAAAACAAUAUAAAAAAACAAUUAAUCUAUCUAUCUAUCUAUCUAUCUAUCUAUCUAUCUAUCUAUCUAUCUAUCUACUUAAUGAUUAUGUAUUAAUCCUUCCGUGGUAGAAUUAUUAAAUACAUACAUAAAGCAUUUCGUCAUAAAAAUAUGAAGUGGAUUUUUCCUCAAGCACAGUUUGUGCCCUUUCAACCAAAGAGUUACAUUAACGAAAGUAUUUAUUUUUUCAUACUUAAUGUGUAGGAAAUAAAAAAAAAAUCAAGCACUGCAGUAUUCCUAGAAAGCAAAUCUAUGUAAAACAUCGUUUAAACAUAUAUUUACAAAUAAACAAAUACUGAUUUCGUGUUCAUUAUAUACACAUCGUUACGCCUGCAUCAUGCUGUAUUUCUGACAUAUGCACUACAUAGGCUUACAGACCCAGAGGAAGACAGCAGACAGAAGAAAACGUUCAGUUCUGGUCUGAGUUGUUGCAAUGUGUUCGAAAUGGUCUAGGCAAUGAAGGAGCUUCUCUUCCAGCUAUUUAGUGGAAAUCGGUGCGAAUUUUGCAUGCUUGUCAAUCCAGCAAGGUACAGAAAUCAUUUAAUUCAUUUUACAAACGUGACAGAACAGAUGUAGCACCAUCAACGCGGCUAAAUGGAUUAUGUGGUUCUAGUCAACCGCACACAUUUACAAUAUGAUCCCAUGCAGUAUUCCACCUGUUACAUUAACCACUACAGAAAAUGUCAGUAGCAUCCUGCAGCCCCUCAGAAAAGGUGCCGACCCAGUUUCUUCUUAUACAUAAAAGUUUCAUUUUACACUCCAUUAAAUUAUGCAAAUUUGGUCCCCACUCUCAAUUGAAUAAAGUUGAACCACCAAAGAGCAGAUUCCAUGAGUACAGCCUCAACUGCCACCAUGUUGCUAGUUUAUUUCCUGGUGCUGCUUAACGUGGCGUCCUGUGUACUUGGUGCAAUUGAUUUUGUUCAGCCAGGUCAUGUCACUGUCCAGCCUGGACAGACAUUGACUAUUGGAUGUAAAGUGUCUGGAUAUAGUUUAACUGACAGCAGCUACUGUACAAACUGGAUCCGUCAUGCUACAGGAAAAGCUAUGCAGUGGGUUGGAUACAUUUGUAGCCGUGGUAGCACAGGGUGCACUGAUUCACUGAAAAACAGGUUCAGCAUCACUCAGGAUACCUCCAGCAACACAGUGACUCUUCAUGUACAAAAAACCUUAGACCAACCUUGUGUCUUUGAUCAUAGUCAGCUUUCUGUAAAUGUUCUGUAAAUACAAGACAUCAUAAUGCUCACAUAAUGUACAUUGUGGAAUAUUAACAUGAUGUAAAAGAAUAGAAUAGAGUGUUACAUGACAGUUUGACAGUUUUUUCC